rnacentral:rRNA from 1 species
AUUGAACGCUGGCGGCAGGCCUAACACAUGCAAGUCGAGCGGAUGAGUGGAGCUUGCUCCAUGAUUCAGCGGCGGACGGGUGAGUAAUGCCUAGGAAUCUGCCUGGUAGUGGGGGACAACGUUUCGAAAGGAACGCUAAUACCGCAUACGUCCUACGGGAGAAAGCAGGGGACCUUCGGGCCUUGCGCUAUCAGAUGAGCCUAGGUCGGAUUAGCUAGUAGGUGAGGUAAUGGCUCACCUAGGCGACGAUCCGUAACUGGUCUGAGAGGAUGAUCAGUCACACUGGAACUGAGACACGGUCCAGACUCCUACGGGAGGCAGCAGUGGGGAAUAUUGGACAAUGGGCGAAAGCCUGAUCCAGCCAUGCCGCGUGUGUGAAGAAGGUCUUCGGAUUGUAAAGCACUUUAAGUUGGGAGGAAGGGCAGUAAGUUAAUACGUUGCUACUUUGACGUUACCGACAGAAUAAGCACCGG